GAUGAACGCUGGCGAUAGGCUUAACACAUGCAAGUCGAGGGGCAGCACAAGGUAGCUUGCUAUCUGGGUGGCGACCGGCGCACGGGUGCGUAACGCGUAUGCAACUUGCCCUAUACAGGAGGAUAACCCGUCGAAAGACGGACUAAUACUGCGUAUGCUCACAACUUGGCAUCAAGUGGUGAGGAAAGAAAUUCGGUAUAGGAUAGGCAUGCGUCCCAUUAGCUUGUUGGUGAGGUAACGGCUCACCAAGGCAACGAUGGGUAGGGGAACUGAGAGGUUUAUCCCCCACACUGGUACUGAGACACGGACCAGACUCCUACGGGAGGCAGCAGUGAGGAAUAUUGGUCAAUGGGCGCGAGCCUGAACCAGCCAAGUCGCGUGAAGGAUGACUGUCUUAUGGAUUGUAAACUUCUUUUAUACGGGAAUAACAAGAGUCACGUGUGACUCCCUGCAUGUACCGUAUGAAUAAGCAUCGGCUAACUCCGUG
rnacentral:rRNA from 1 species